CUUCGUUUCUUUAUAUAUACUAAAAUAGUUCCUCACUCUCUCAUCAUCUCUCUCGCCUGCUCUCUUCUCUCUCUCUCGAUUCUUCACUGGAAUCAUAGAAAUUGUUGGAAAAAUCAAGUUCUAUGAGAGGAUUUUGAGUAAUUAAGUUUAGGUUGAAGGAUUGAGAGAUUAAAGAAGAAAGCCCCUAAUUGAUUCUUCAAAGAAAGGGGCUGCAAGAAGUUUUAUCAAUGGAUUCUUGAGAAGCCAGCUUCCUGAUGGUGGUGUAUUUCGCCGGCGGAGGUCACCGGUGGUCGGAAGACGGCAAGAAGUGCAGCCUGCCCCUGAACUUUAGGAGUCGAUUUGAGUUAUGUCGGCAAAAUUCAGAGAAAUGAAGAAUUGCUGCCGCACCUGUUUUCAGAGCAUAAUUUGGAGGGUUUGGAGUGUGAAUUUGGGAAUCAUUCCUUGACGAAACUCGUAGAGGACCUCGAAAACUAUUGGUAUCGAAGCGUACUAAAGUUCUCAUUCAAGACUUGAGCAUGACUCGAGAGUAAGGUGUUUUUAUAGCACUUGCAUUGGACUUCAGGCUUUGGCAGAUGACCCCCUCGUGGUUGUAAUAUCAGCAGAUAACCCCCUUGUGGUUAGAGGGGGGUAGCGCCCGUUAAAAUUUCCGUCUAACUUACCUGGGCGUGUAUGUUACGCGUGCGGAAGACAAGAGAGCAGCCCCAUCCAAUUUCUAGACUUCAGAAAAUGCCCAUAUUACCCUUUUUCUUGAAAUAAAUACCCCCCUUCAUUUAUUCAUUCCAUUUGGCGCGUUGACUUUUUCGAA